rnacentral:rRNA from 1 species
UACGUAGGGUGCAAGCGUUGUCCGGAAUUAUUGGGCGUAAAGAGCUCGUAGGUGGCCUGUCGCGUCGGCUGUGAAAACUCGGGGCUCAACUCCGAGCUUGCAGUCGAUACGGGCAGGCUAGAGUUCGGCAGGGGAGACUGGAAUUCCUGGUGUAGCGGUGAAAUGCGUAGAUAUCGGGAGGAACACCAGUGGCGAAGGCGAGUCUCUGGCCUAAUACUGACGCUGAUGCGCGAAAGCUAGGGGAGCAAACGGG